UGACUUCAGGCUUUACUGACUGUGGUCCCUUUAUUUAUCCCUAAUCUUGCCUUUGUCUGGAGAUCUAUUUUACCCAGUCUUUAAGGGUAACUAUACAGUGCUGCCCUGGGAACUUCAGUGGUCCCAGCCUUGCAGCUGGUUGGGGAGGCUUCCCAGUGGUGGCAGUGGUGUAUCCCUGGCCCCCUGGACUGCAGCUUCUUUACUGCCAAGUCAUCUGUUCAUCCAUCCGUGGCGGUCCACAAUGGCCACUUUCAGCCGCCAGGAAUUUUUCCAGCAGCUCCUGCAGGACUGUCUCCUGCCUACUGCCCAGCAGGGCCUUGACCAGAUCUGGCUGCUCCUUGCCAUCUGUCUCGCCUGCCGCCUCCUCUGGAGGCUCAGAUUGCCAUCCUACCUGAAGCACGCAAGUACCGUGGCAGGUGGGUUCUUCAGCCUCUACCACUUCUUUGAGCUGCACGUGGUCUGGGUCAUGCUGCUCAGCCUUCUGUGCUACCUCGUGCUGUUUCUCUGUCGACGUUCCUCCCAUCGCGGCGUCUUCAUCUCCGUCACCAUCCUCGCCUACCUGCUCAUGGGUGAGACGUACAUGGUGGACACUGUGGCGUGGCACAGGAUGCGAGGGGCCCAGAUGAUCGUGGCUAUGAAGGCAGUGUCUCUGGGCUUUGACUUGGAUCGGGGUGAGGUGAGCAUGGUGCCGUCACCCGUGGAGUUCAUGGGCUACCUCUGCUUUGUGGGCACUGUCAUCUUUGGGCCCUGGAUAUCCUUCCACAGGUACUUAGAGGCCGUCCAAGGCCGCCCACUGAGCUGCCGGUGGCUGCAGAAGGUGGCCCAGAGCCUGUUGCUGGCCCUUCUGUGCCUGGUGCUGUCCACCUGUGUGGGCCCCUAUCUCUUCCCCUACUUCAUCCCCCUCGAUGGUGACCCCCUCCUUCGCAAGUGGCUGCGAGCCUAUGAGAGUGCCGUCUCCUUCCGCUUCAGCAACUAUUUUGUGGGCUUUCUAUCCGAGGCCACAGCCACGUUGGCAGGGAGCGGCUUCACCAAGGAGAAGGAUCACCUGGAAUGGGACCUGACGGUCUCUAAGCCACUGAACGUGGAGCUGCCCCGGUCCAUGGUGGAAGUUGUCACAAGCUGGAACCUGCCCAUGUCUUGCUGGCUAAAUAACUAUGUUUUCAAGAAUGCUCUCCACCUGGGGACCUUCUCAGCUGUGCUGGUCACCUAUACAGCCAGCGCCCUGCUGCACGGCUUUAGCUUCCACCUGGCUGCGGUGCUGCUGUCUCUGGCGUUUAUCACUUACGUGGAGCACAUCCUCCGAAAGCGCUUGGCUCGGAUCCUCAGUGCCUGCAUCUUGUCGAGAAGGUGCCCACCAGACUGUUCACACCAGUAUCGUUUGGGCCUGGGGGUGCGAGCCUUAAACCUGCUCUUUGGGGCCCUGGCCAUCUUCCACCUGGCCUACCUGGGCUCCCUGUUUGAUACUGAUGUGGACGACACCACAGAGGAGCAGGGCUACGGCAUGGCAUACACGGUCCACAAGUGGUCAGAGCUCAGCUGGGCCAGUCACUGGGUCACUUUUGGAUGCUGGAUCUUCUACUGUCUCAUAGGCUGAGACACAUCUGAGGCAGCUCCCUCAAGAACCCUCCUCAGAGUGGUGGGGAUGAGGGAAGGCCCUCUCUCUAAUUUUUGAUCCUUCUCCAUUCUUCACGCUGCCCCCAUACCCCUACACACACACACAUCAUCUCCAUACCUUCCAACAAUCCCCACUUCCACCAUUGGACGGGAAGGGAGUGGUCCCCGCUGGGGCCUAGGGGUGGGGAGAGCCUAGGGAAGCAGAGAACAGGAGAUCCAGGGCCUUCCUGCCUGCCUUGUCUCUUUGUAUAUACAGUUUGUUAUUAUCAAGUAAAUUCGGAAGUUUUUUUUGUUUAACAGUAAGUAUAGAAAAUCUCAUGUUCUCAUAAUAUUGAGGAAUUCUGAAGAGACUGAGACUCAGAAUUUGGUCCCGGUUUGGGAAAAGGUUUUCCUUCAAUGGUUUUAAAUUGCAUCGGAUUACCACUGUGUGCUUAGUGGUGCACUUCAAAGUGUAAUAGAUGGUUCUGUUUAAUAUUUGCUCUGGAUCUUUGGCACAUUUUGGGGGGAGGGAACCCAGUUUAAAAUAAAAUGUAACAGCAGCAGUUUUGAAACAGCUGAAUGAGGAGCUUGGCAAGUUCUCCUUCCAAAAAAAGCAAUUAUUAAACUUAACAAAAUUGUAAACAAACAAGCAAAAACCCAUUUAAGGUCUCUGAAAAUUAACCAAAGGACAUAUAUUGAGAGGCAUUUAUUCGAACAAAGCUAGUGAAUUUCAGUAUAAACAGUGAUGAUGGUCGAGCAUGUUAGGAGAUGCUCCCAUCUCCUCCCUCAGCUCUGAUUCCUCAAGUUCUACUCUGGGUACGCCAUGAGGACUGGCAGCUCUGUUGUCCUGUCAGAGGGAGCUGACUUUAUUUAGAGCAGCACUUGGAAAAACACAUUCCCAGGGCUGUUACUGAAAACAAUAGCAGUCUCUGUGGCAGACAGUCUGGGAAAGCUAAUGUUGCAGGGAACAAGAAAUGGCAGACUGGCCAGAAAUUUAUCGGGGAAAUCUAGGGAAAGAGAUAGCUAAAGUGAGCCCUGCUAUUCAUAUCACACUUAGCUCUUAGGGUCCAAAAGGCUGUGUACAUGUACAAGGCUACACCUAUUCAGGAGAGGACAGAGGACCCUUGAAAGCUACUAGCCCCUUGCAGGGUAGGCUGAUCAACUACCUACACUUCGAAAGUAUCCAUCCAAGCCACACACAGACCCCAUGGCAAAGGAUUUGAAAGCCUUCUGGCUCAAGGUGUUGAAGCAAAACCUCUGACCAGUCACUGGCUGACCACUAAGUUAUGCUGACCUGGGACAGCCCCCUAGAAAGCAAGGCUUAAAAAGAAGGGGAAAAAAAAAGCAGUGACAUCGGAGUUUGGACACUGAUGGGGAAACAGACUCUAGAAAAUUAGGCAAGUCACUAGUGGACAAACAGGAAACAGGCAACAUGAAGCUGUAAGCAGGGUCAGAAUUUUGAUUUGCUACUAAUUUAGAGUAUUUCAUUUGAAAUAGCCAGUUUUUAACAGGAAAUUAUAAGACAUGAAAAUAAGCACAAAAGUGUGACUGUUAUUCAGGGGAAGGCAAGCAAUAGAAACUUGGAGGGAGCUCAGUGGCAAAUGAUGGUUCCUAGUAACAAAAGAAGCAGUUUCUUUUUCAGUGUAUUCAAAGAACUAAAGGAAAAAUUCUUCCUUUUGCCAAUGACUCUUCAAAGAGAGUAUUAAUAAAGAGAUUUGGGACUUCCCUCGUCCAGUGGUUAAGACUCUCUGUUGCCAAUGCAGAGGGUGUGGGUUCGAUCCCUGGUUGGGAAACUUAAGAUCCCACAUACCGUGCAGUGCAGCCAAAAGAGAUUUUUUUUUUAAGGGAUAAAUAUAUCUAAAUUUUUAAAAGGAAUCAAAUAGAAAUUCUAGAAUUUGAAAAGUACAAUGACUGAAUGAAAAAUUCACAGACUCAGGAUUUGAGAUGGCAAAAGAAUUAGUGAACUUGAACACAGGUUAAUGGAGGUUAUCCAGUCUCAAGAACAGAAAGCAGAAAGAAAAAAACAAUCAGUAUCAGAGACGGUAGACACCAGCACACAGAACAGCAUGCAUGUAAUGAAAGUCCCAGAUGGAGAGGAGAGAAAGAAAGGAGCAGAAAAUGUGUUUUAAGAAAUAGCUGAAAUUUUAUAAAUUUGAUUAAAAAUAUUCAUCCCCAUGUCCAAGAAGUUUAAUGAACUUUAAGAAGGAUAAACAGAAAGAAAUCCACACCUAGAUACAUCAUAGCCAAACCUGCAAAAGGGAUGCCUCAUUACAUGCAAGUGAGUCACAGAAAGAUUAACAGCUGAUUUACUUCUGUAAUUAUGGGGGCCAGAACAUGUCAAUAUAUGAUUAUUAGACGGUGUUAAUUUUUCAGUUGUUUAAUAUUAAUCCACUUAAUGAAGUUAAAAUGAUGGCAUGAAUAAAAAGGAGCUCUCUUUUUGUUAGUCUGUUCUCUCUUUCCAUGUUGUUGUCCGUAUAUAGAAAUGUAGGAAUUGUCUUCUUAAGAGAUCAAAAAAAUUAAAUCUUCCUAUUAAGAAAAUCCAGAUUCAGAGUUAAAAUUCUUAGGAAAGAAUCUCUGCUGCUUUGAUUUCCACAGUGAUAAGGAAUACUUAAUUCUUUCAGAAAAAUAGUAAAUAAUUGGCAAUUUAGAAGGCUGUUUUUGCAAAAAGUGAUUAACAGCAGACUGAAUUUAUACAAGGGGGAAUUGAGUUGAUGUCUAAAACUGAAAUAUAAAAUGAUAGGUACAAACUAACCCACAGUAUUUUCCGUACUUAGAAUUUCCCAGGUUUUGUUGCCCUGGUCCACAUAUUGGGUUUUAUUGCUAUAAAGUGUCAUCUACUGUGAUAGAAAACUAAUAUAGUAAUAGGUCUUUCAUAAUAUAAAAAUUUUAAAGCAGGGGAUGCCAACCAUCAGCACUUCUGGAGCUUUCACCAUCCCAAAUCUUCUGGAAGAUAAUAAAAAAAAGUAAAAGCGCAAUAUAGUAUAGAAGUUAGGAGUAGGAGCUUCUUGGUCAUAGAACUGUGAUUCCUGGCCCCACCACUUACCAGCUAUUGUCAACAGCAUAUUUGUGUUAACUCUAAGUUAGUACUUUGAAGCCUCAGCUUCCAGUAUGACUGUAUUUGGAGAUAGGGCCUUUAUGGAGUAUGCUCUUGUUGUUUAGUCACUAGAUUGUGUCUGACUCUUUUGCAACCCCAUGGACUGUAGCCCUCCAGGCUCCUCUGUCUGUGGGGUUUUCCAGCCAAGAAUAGAGUGGGCUGCCAUUUCCUUCUCAAAGGUAUUUUCCUGACCCCGGGAUCAAACCUGCAUCUCGUGUAUUGGCAGGUGGAUUCUUUUACCACUGAGCCACCAGUGAAUCCCCCUUAUGGGGUUGAUUAAGGUUAAAUGAGGUCCGAAGAGUGGAGUCCCGAUAUGAUAGGAUUAGUGUCCUGAUAAGAAACACAGAAGAGAGCUAGCUUGCUUAUUCUCUCUGUCAUGUGAGAACAAAAUUCUCUAACAGUUGCUGAGGUACCUGGUAAGCUAAGAGAUAAACAGAGGAUAGUCACAACUCCAUUUUAAAAAAUUAAAUUGUAUAAGUAUUUCCGCUGAAAUAUUUUCACAGGUAUUGUCUUUUUGCCUUUGUUCAUAGUAUCUUUGACAAACAUUGGCAAGGAUAUGGAAAAACAGUUGGUGUGUUGUUUGAUUACAUAAAGUUGACAAAACAUUUGGAAAACUGGCAAUAAAUACUAAAAUUGCACAUGUGUGUAUGUGUGACCCAAUAAUUCUUUUCUGAGGCUUGGUAUGCAGUAGAAAUGAAUAUAUGUGUGUGUGUAUAUAUUCAUCAAGAUAUACAUACUAGGACAUUUGUAACAGCAUUAUUGGUUAAUAGCCAGGAACUAUAUAAACUGCCCAAAUGCCCACUAAACAGUCAAAUUGGUAAAUUGCAUGUUCACACAGAGAAAUACAGUGAAAAUGAAAAACUACAACUAACCCACCAAAGAGUGAAUUUCACAAAUAUAUUAAGGGUAUUAAAAAAACCACAUGCUAUAUGAACAUGUUUAUAUCAAAGUACAAAAAUAAGUAAAACUAAUAUUACAUGGUGUUAAAAAGAACGGUAGUGAUUUAUCCUUGGGAGAGGAGGCUAGUUACUGGAAUGGAGGAGAAGACGACUUCCAAGAUGCUGGUAAUGUUCUGUUUCUUCAUGUGGCUUUUAGUUACACAGCAGGUUCAGUUUCUGAAAAUUCAUCAAGCUAUCUCUUAGGACAGGGCUGUCCAGUAGAAUUCAAAUGUGAGCCACAUUAUGUAAUUUAAAUUUUUCUACAAGUCAUAUUUUUUAAAGUUUUUUUAAUUACUAACUUUUGCAUUUUAUUUAUCCCAGUAUAUUCAGAAUAUUAUCAUUUGAACAUAAAGUGGAUAUAAACAUCUAUUGAGACAUUUUUCCUUUUUUUUGGCAGUAAGUACUUGAAACCCAGUGUGUUUUCCACUUACUCAAAUUAGCAACAUUUCAAGUAUGCAGUACUCACAUGGCUAGAGGCUGUGCUACUGAACAACACAGCCCUAAGAUAUGUACUAUUUUGUGUGUGUAAUAUACUUCAAUAAAGUGUUUUGAAAGUUUCCCACAAUGAAGAUAUUUCUGAGUACAGUUGUAUAAACUCACAAUUGAAUCAUGUUUGCUGAUUGUAUUUUCACUUCAUUUUCUGUAAUGUGUAAGGGGUAAAUUUCAGUGUUGUUUUCCUAUGUUUGAUUUUCAAUAAUUGCAAUUCUUUGAAAGCUGGAAAAACUGAAAAAUUUGGCACUUCACCAUUGAGUACUUUGAUCAGAGAUUUCCAGCUAAUUUUGAACAAAAUAUAGCUAAAAGGACUCAUUCACAGGAAUCAAAAAAAACAAUGCCAUUUUAGGAACUAGGUUGAUAUCAGAGAAGUUCUUCAAAGGCUUAAAUUUUUAAAAUCCAAAGUGCUUGUGUAAUGUCAUGUGAGUUUUUUGUGUCUUCAGCAUCAGCUUUGUCACAGAUUUUAUAGUUCAGCCACUUUAACUGUGAAUACAUGGAUAUAUUUGUAAUUUAUGCAACUCUGAUGUCCAGUUGAUUGGUAGAAUUCCUCGCUACUUUGGAAAAUAAUUGUUUGGGUAACAAUUAUGAAUUACUUGUGUACCACAACUAAUUCCUAGUAAGUUUCUAUUUCAUCGUUUUAAAAAUUCACCAAGAAUAUUAUUAUUUAUACAGUGUUUAAAUGUUUGUUGCACUGUUUGUAUUUGUAUUAGCAGUUUAAGAACUGACAGCUUUGUCUUCGUUGUUGUACUUUUUAAAUUAAUUUAGCAGUCACAAAACAAAAAUGUUUCACCUUCAAUAUAAUGACUUUCCAAAAGUUCUAUUUUGAUUCUAUAAUAAGGAUAGAAAAAUUUAGCCAUUAUUGGGAUGAAUAGAUUUUUCUAUUUAAAGUACCUGAUGACACUGAUGUAAAACUGGUACCCUAAAGCUUUUUGCAGGGUUUUUCUUUCAGCAAAGGCAACAGGCAAACAGCUUUGCUUUUUGUAUGUGCACAAGAAUGUGAGUGAAAAUUUAGAAGAGUCGUUUGAUUUAAAUAAAGUUAUGUUCUACAGA